rnacentral:rRNA from 1 species
AGCAGCCGCGGUAAUUCCAGCUCCAAUAGCGUAUAUUAAAGUUGUUGCAGUUAAAAAGCUCGUAGUUGAAUUUCGGGAUCAUCAGGUUGGUCGUGCCAUUGGUAUGUACUAGCUUUGGUGGUUCCUACCUCUUGAAGAACCGUAAUGUCAUUAACUUGGUGUUGCGGGGAAUCAGGACUGUUACUUUGAAAAAUUAGAGUGUUUAAAGCAGGCAAACGCUUGAAUACAUUAGCAUGGAAUAAUGAAAUAGGACGUUUGAUCUUAUUUUGUUGGUUUCUAGGAUCGACGUAAUGAUUAAUAGGGAUAGUUGGGGGCAUUAGUAUUCAAUUGUCAGAGGUGAAAUUCUUGGAUUUAUUGAAGACUAACUACUGCGAAAGCAUUUGCCAAGGAUGUUUUCAUUAAUCAAGAACGAAAGUUAGGGGAUCGAAGACGAUCAGAUACCGUCGUAGUCUUAACCAUAAACUAUGCCGACUAGGGAUCGGAUGAUGUUAAUUUUUUAAUGACUCAUUCGGCGCCUUAC